rnacentral:rRNA from 1 species
AGUGAACGCUGGCGGUAGGCCUAACACAUGCCAGUCGAACGGCAGCACAGUAAGAGCUUGCUCUUACGGGUGGCGAGUGGCGGACGGGUGAGGAAUACAUCGGAAUCUACUUUUUCGUGGGGGAUAACGUAGGGACACUUACGCUAAUACCGCAUACGACCUACGGGUGAAAGCAGGGGAUCUUCGGGCCUUGCGCGAUUGAAUGAGCCGAUGUCGGAUUAGCUAGUUGGCGGGGUAAAGGCCCACCAAGCCGACGAUCCGUAGCUGGUCUGAGAGGAUGAUCAGCCACACUGGAACUGAGACACGGUCCAGACUCCUACGGGAGGCAGCAGUGGGGAAUAUUGGACAAUGGGCGCAAGCCUGAUCCAGCCAUACCGCGUGAGUGAAGAAGGCCUUCGGGUUGUAAAGCCCUUUUGUUGGGAAAGAAAAGCAGCAGGUUAAUACCCCGCUGUUCUGACGGUACCCAAAGAAUAAGCACCGGCUAACUUCGUG